UGAGCGGGCGGGACGGGUGAGUAACGCGUGGGUAACCUGCCCUCAUACGAGGGGGGAAUAGUUAGGAAACGGCUGCUAAUACCGCAUAAGCGCACAGUACCGCAUGGUACGGUGUGAAAAACUCCGGUGGUAUGAGAUGGACCCGCGUCUGAUUAGGUAGUUGGUGGGGUAACGGCCUACCAAGCCGACGAUCAGUAGCCGACCUGAGAGGGUGACCGGCCACAUUGGGACUGAGACACGGCCCAA
rnacentral:rRNA from 1 species